UGCUUCAGCUGUGGGGCCACAGAAGGCAGGACUCAGGGAUGGACUCCACCAUGGCCUGGUCCCCUCUCCUACUCACCCUCCUGGCUCACUGCACAGGGUCCUGGGCCCAGGCUGUGCUGACUCAGCCGCCCUCAGUGUCUGGGAACCCAGGACAGACCGUCACCAUCUCCUGCACUGGAAGCAGCACCAACAUCGGGGGUGGUAAUUAUGUAUACUGGAACCAACAGUUCCCAGGAAAACCCCCUAAAACCGUCAUCUAUUAUACUAGCAGCAGACCCUCUGGGAUCCCGGACCGAUUCUCUGGAUCCAGGUCUGGCAGCGUCGGCACCCUGACCAUCAGUGGGCUCCAGGCUGAGGACGAGGCCGACUAUUACUGCUCAGCAUGGGAUGACAGUAGUAACAGUGGUCCUGUGUGUCAGGGGGAGGCUAUGCUGGGAACAGAGUCCCUGAUGGGUCAGCAAGAUCCAGGGACAGGGAACCGGUCUGUGUCCAUGUCAGUUCAUAUCAGGAAGGCCCAGAGUGUGGGCUGUCACCAACAUGUGCCCUCUCAGCCUCCACCCUGA